rnacentral:lncRNA from 1 species
CCAGUGCAUCAGAUAUGCAGAACCAGAACUAUGUUUAGGAUAGGUACCAUUUAUCAUUCCUAGUUUGAGUUUAGCUGAAAAAGCUAAAGUCAUAGAUCGUUUCCAUUGAGAGUAAUUAGCACCAUUCAAUGAUUGAGAAACCAGAAUCAAACCCGGAUGAUCAGAAGGUUGCAAGUAAAGUGAAUGACAAGCAUCAAGUUGCAACAGUAACAGAUGCAGCAGGAGCCAUG